rnacentral:rRNA from 1 species
GGUAAUUUAAUCUUAUAAUCAACAUAAAUGGAUCAAAUCAAUAUAAAUAAAUAUAUAAAAAUAAAGAAGAGUUACAAUAAUUCUUCCCAUCACCCCAACAAAACAUCCAACCUAACUCAUAAAUAAAUCAAACAAAUUAUACCAGCCAAAAAUAAAUGUUAAACUCUAUAGGGUCUUCUCGUCCCAUAACAACAUCUAAGUAUUUUAACUCAAACUACAAAUUCAAUUAAAACAAUACCCCCAAGACAGCCUAUGCCUCGUCAAGCCAUUCAUACCAGAUCACAAUUAAAGAACUAAUGAUUAUGCUACCUUUGCACGGUCAAAAUACCGCGGCCCUUCAACUAAAAGUCAGUGGGCAGGCCAUACUUCAAAAACUAACAAGAAAAGAUGUUUUUGUUAAACAGGCGGACAUAAAUACUUUGCCGAAUUCCUUAAAGAAAAUUAUCAUUUAAUAAAACAACACAAAUAAAAAAUUUACUAAUUACACAAUAAUUACCAUACAAACGACAAUAAAAUAAACAUUUCAAUAAAUAAUUUAAAUCACAAAUUAAAUAAAUAAAAGAACAAAUAAAAUUUUAACAUAAUCAAAUUGAAAAUCACCAUAAAAUCCACAAAACUAAAUUUAACAAAAAAUUAUAAAACCAAAAUAAAGAGCUAAUCCCCCUUAAUUUUAACAUCAAAUAAAAAUAAAUAAACAAUAAAAGAAAUUAAAUAAAAUGUAUGAAUUAAA